AGCGCGGCGAGUGUAGUUACCGAUGGUGGUGAUGACGGUGAUGGCGAAGUAGAAGGAGCCGGCGAAGCGCCACUGCACGCCGGCCUUGUGCGGCUUGAGGCGCAGCACGACGCGCUCCAGCUCCUCGUAGCCGCCCUCGCUGAGGUUGUAGCGCGCCCGCAGCUCCAGCUGCCGCAGCUCCAGCCGCUGCCGCUCGAUCAUCUCCGGCUCCGACUCCAGUGCGUCGAACACCGCGGCGCCCACCAGCAGAACUUCUGCAGUCUCACCCUUGAAGCAGGGACACUGGAGGGACUCAGCCAUUACUGAGAUCACAGGCAGGCCAACGGGAAUUUUAUGAAAUGAGUUUUUCCAAAGCAUCCAUGACUUUUUUAUGAAAAGGAACACUUUAGUGGCAUCUAGGUCCCAGGUUUAUCAAGGAAGUAGGAUCAUGUAAACAGAAAUAGGCAUAUGCUGGUGCUCCUGACAGCAGAGGGAUGGGGCCACCCGGCCCUGCAGAGGCGGCCACGGACAACUAUUGGAGUGACUGUCAGAGUUCUCAGUGAAGCAGGAUUCAAUCCGUGAUCAGUCUGGCUCCAGCCUGUGCUUCUCCCUCUCCGCCACGCUCCCUCACUAGAAAAUGACUGAGGGCAGAGCCAGGCAACAACAGGGGAAUCAGAACAGAAGGUGCUGUUAACGCUGGGCUGGCACACAGCUAGAGCUCAGAAAAAUGCAGUCACAUGAAUGAAUGAGGAGCUCUGAACGGAAGGCGCCGGGCAGGUCCAAGAAUCAGUACCAGCGUUUCCCAUGGCUGGACAGAUGCUCAGCUUCAGGUGGGAAGCAGGUCCUAGAUGUGAGCAAGACCUGGUGACUCUAGCUCACACAGCUGCUCAGGGACAAAACCAUCAGGGAACAGCUCUGGACCCACUGAAGGUGGAGAUGAGGAAGGGAGGCAGAGCUGUCUUGGCACAGAGCUCGGGCACCCAGCCCAGGCAGGGACUCAGAAGGUCUCCGUGUCUGUGCAGAGCCAAAGGAUAUUGUUGGGGCUUUGAGCUGGUGCCUGAAGAAGAAUGGCUAUCCAGGGGCCCUCAGAGACCUGAAGGGGAUGGGGUCAUCCUACCCAUAUGGACCAGGGUUGCCACUGGGAGGGGCCCAAGGUGGGGGUGGGAUAUCCAGGCCAUGAGAGCAUAGAUCUCUGCUCAUCCAGAGAUGAUACGUGUGGUCCAGUGAACCAUAGAAACCACGGCAUGUCAGGGAGAUGGAGGUCAGCUGGGAGGCAGCGCUCAGGCAGAAGGGCACAGCCAUCAGGGACAUGGAAAAAGUGAUGUCGUUAAGGAACAAUGUGAGCCAAAGGAAUGAGCUGUAACUGGCUGGACCUGAAAGGACAAGUGGGAAAGCGGCUGCCAGACGCCCAUGGGUGUCUGAUGAUGGCCUGCCACUACCCUGGGGAAGGGACUGAGCCUCAGCCCCGAGGCUUAGAAGAAAGUUACCCAGCAGGCCUCAUGGCCCUUCUCUGCCUUUAUUACUAUGCCCUUCACCCCUUGGUUUGUUAAUCAAUGAGUGAUAAAUCGAGUCCCGAAAGACCUCCUGUCCAGACUGCACUGCCCUGAUUUUCCAGAGAAGAUCCAAGAAGGCAGCAGGAGGAUGAAGACUGAGUUCUUGGUCAUGCAAGAUGGCCUAAGUCUCUCCCCUACCCCAGCUUCCAAGAGGGGAGUCAUGGCCUCUUCUCCCCAAGAAAAUGGGACAAGGAGGACACUGACUCAGGCUUCUCUUUCCUCCUUUGGGAAGAGCUGGGAAAAGCCAGUCCAGCCCUGUAGCCCCAAAAGAAAGCCAGCUUGAGGCUGAGGAGGCCUGGCUGGGAGAGAGACUCCUUGGGCCUCUCCUGGAAUGGUGAGCUGUGGAAAGCCCAAGCAGGGGUCUCAGCAGCGCUGAGAAGUCUAGGACCUGUCAGGAGGGGAUGCUGUGUGGUGAGGACCGAGCUGAUCCAGAGUCUCUAACAGAUGAUGAAGCAGGCCUAACUAGGGCCAGGGCCAGGCUGACGUGACCCCAGCGUGUGGAUUUCCUUGCGCUCCACCCCCAUGCUGUUUCCCACCGAGAAAAAUGUUGUUUGUUGGCAUCAAAAUCCCUGGGACCAUGUUUAGGGUGGAUGGGGACCCCCAUCUAUUCUUUUGCUACUCUGUGAGGUGCAACAUCUUCAUAAGGGGGUUCUCACCUGGUAUUUGGGGGUAAAGGACCUUGUAGGACUGAAGGAGUAGGGCUGUAAAGGGUAGCUGAUUCCCAGUGGCUUGGUUGGGGCAGACAAAUGGCUACAUCAAGGCCUCCAUCCAAUUGCCAAUGAGAUUGCCAGAUAUGUGCAGACAUGUGCUUCCCAAGCUCGGGUGUUUUCUUUAUCAUAUCUGUCCAUAUGUGGUUAUGCGGUCUUCCCCACUCCUCCACAGAUGACAGAUAGCUUUGGGGCUUCCUCAGACAGUAGAUGGGCGUGGCAGUACCCACACAAUCCCUACAACACACUGUGGUCUCUCUCCUCUCUGUAGACACCAGAGUCCUUACAAAAUGUUGUGGUUGUCCCUCCACUGUCAGACAGGUCCCCUCACGGCUCCCAUUAGCAAUCCUGUCUUACCUCUGAUGUCUGAGCCCUUUGUCUCUUCAGGCCAGCUAUCUUUCCAACAGCUGGGGGAAGGACAGAAAGGGACACUUCUGGACAGAGGCUGAGACAGAGCAGGGAACUGUGGCAUGGAGCUGGCCUGAGCCUAGGUCAGGUUCUAAGCAUCCCUGUCCUCAGGUCCAGCAAGUGAGCUCUAGGGCUGCAGGGGUAGGGCAGCAGGCUGAGAAUCACUGUUCUGUUUUCUUAAGCUCCCAGCUGGGACUAGGAACACCAAAUCCUCUUUGAAUAAAACAGAAAAGGGAUUUAAAAAAAUCAAGACAUUAACCUUGUGAAACCAGACCGCCCCUCUCACUCCCCCCCCCCGCCACCCCCUGCCACAUAGAGAUUAACUUCUUCCCCCAGGCUUUUUCUUUUUUUUUUUUUUUUCAGUUUUCAUUUCUAUAAACAUCUUAAUUCAUGGCAACAUCACAGCCAGCCUGGAUUACAGAUGGAUAUAGAGGUGAAUGAAAUAGUCACACACACGCACACGCACACUCACACACACACACCUGGAACAGGGGGAAAGAACAGUGAAUGAGAUUCUAAGGAACCAGGAUUUUUUGCUGGAGUUCACUUUCCUCACCUGUAAAGGGAGAAGUUAGCCCUUCUGCCUCUGCCCCUCUGUGAACUCUGUCUUGUCUGCUGGUCCCUUCCAUCAGUGUCCUCUAUGCUGCCAGAGAGCCAGCUCCCCCUGCCACACACACACCCAUGGUGACACACCACACCAACUAGAAGUUUCCCUUCAUCCCCAGCACUGGAUGCUACUCUCCUUUCUAUAUCACAGGUUCCAGCAGGGCAGGGACAAGUUGCUACUGUCCUCUGCACCUGUGUAAUGACAGGUGCUCUACAGGCCUUUGUGAGUAAAUGAGUGGGUAACUCUGGAAGCUGCUCUUUAGGUACACCUGGGAUGGGGCUUGGCAUCUUGUAUGAAAUCCGAACCCAAAUCUUGAAAUAGGGUCACUCUCCUCUUGGGGUGAGGAGCACCUGGCGUUUCUGGAAAAUUCUUUCCAUUUCCCUCCUGACUCCUGAGAAUGUCUCAAAGUCUCAUUUCUUUGAAGCCUUCUUCCGAUUUGCCAGCAGCAUUACCCCAAUCAAGCAACAGAUUUUUCGAUGCACGUUUUCUGUUCUUCCUCCCACCUUCGUCUGACAAGACGGAUCAUUUCCAUCCCUUAAUUAUGUUUUGGUUUGAGGCUGCAGCCAGCUGCAGUGAUUCUCAACUCUGGGUGGCAGUGGGGAGGAGGGUCAUUAUGGGAGCCUUGUCUCAGUGGAGACCAGGAGACAGGUGCUGGGUUCCUCCAUGGCUUUGAGGCUGGGGUAAAGGUGGGACUUCUCCAGGGUUCUGUCUCUGGUUGGGUCAAAGGUUCAGGGGAAUCCCACUUGGCUCUCAUUUUGGUCAGCAUUCCUCAAAGUAUGCUCAGAGACCAGGGUCCCUCGAGGUGUUCUGCAGAAGAAGCCCCAGCCGACUCAGAUACAUUUGGGGGAACUCAGCUGCACUCAGCCUUUGAUUACAAGCUGCAAAAGUCAACUCGGCUAAUUUAAGCUCAGAAAGGAUUUAUCCCAGAAGACCUUGGGAGAGUUCAGAGAACCUCCUGUAGGAGCAGAGAGUCAAGGUCAGAAGGGAAGCAGCCAGCGGCAACACUCAGUGUCACAUGUUAGGAAUGAUCCCAGGAAGGCCCCACUGCUGAGUAGACACAGAGCUUAGGCCACAGCUCUGCCAGCACAGCUACCACUCACACUUCCGUGCAACACGUUCUACGGAGUCCUUCCGUUUCUACACUCGAUUCUUCUGGGAGAAUGCAUCUCAUUGGUAGAGUGGAAUCAUGGACCUGCCUCCUAGAUGCCAGAAAAGCUGGGACAAUGACGGGUUGAUCUAUUCAGCUCCUUCCUGUAUCUGAAGGCAACCUCUGUCUCAUCAUACAUGGGCAUGGUGGGUUGAGUGAGAAUGGCCUACAUAGGCUCUUCUGUUUGAACACUUGCUCCUCAGUUGAUUGAACUGUUUGGGAAGGAUCAGGAGGUCGUACCUUGUUGGAAGAGAUGUGUCACUGGGGGUGGGUUUCAAAGACCGUGUGCUAUUCCAGCUGAGCUCUCUGCUUCCUGCUUGUGGACUGAGAUGAUCUCUCAGAGGUUGCUCCAGCUGCUUGCUGCCUCUGUUCUUCUGUCAUGGACUCUAACCCUCUGGAACCAUAAGCCCAAAAAUAAACCCCUCCUCCCAUAA
rnacentral:lncRNA from 1 species